GCCCCAUGGACUGUAACCCACCAGACUCCUCUGUCCAUGGGAUUUCCCAGGCAAGAGUACUGGAGUGGGUUGCCAUUCCCUUCUCCAGGGGAUCUUCCUGACCCAGGGAUCAAACCUUAGUCUCCUCCACUGCCAGGCAGAUUCUUUACCAUCUGAGCCACCAGGGAAGCCCCCUACUGACUCUAGGAGUUUCCAAUAUACACAGGUGAUCACAUCCUCAUUUGAUGCCACCAAGAGUUGAGAUUUCCCAGUCCUGAGAUGUUCUGAUGCUCUUCCUUGUGACCCAGAGCCAAGGAACUUGCGUCCACUCUUGUCCUCCCACUGCACCCACGUUCUUGCACAUGACUCCAGACAACACACUGACUCCACCCAUUCCUAAGAGUCCAUGCUGCCCAGGGACCUGGGAAUCCAGAGAGAGUUCUCAGCAGCCUGGCUGGGGCCGUGAUGCGCACAGGCUGAGCGCAGGAGGGAAGAGCACACAAGCUUUCAUGCUAGACACUGAAAGGAAAGCUAAAACUGCAGCUGCCGGGGAGAGGUGGCACACUGGGACUCGUGAAGACUGUGGACAGGCAUACUCCAAAUCCUGUGUUGUGACAAGUGAGCAAUCACAGAGCCUUCUAGAAGCAGUUUCCAGACAGCAAUAUGGCUACUGGUAUGCAAGGAGAUCAAGCCAGUCAAUCCUAAAGGAAAUCUAUCCUGAAUCUUCAUUGGAAGGACUGAUGCUGAAGCUGAAGCUCCAAUACUUUGGCCACCUGAUGCAAAGAGUCAACUCAAUGGAAAAGACCCUGAUGCUGGGGAAGAUUGAGGGCAGGAAGAGAAGGGGGUGGCAGAAGACAAGAUGGUUGAAUGGCCUCAUUGACUUAGCCGACGUGAGUCUGAGCAAACUUAGCGAGAUGGUGAAGAAAAAGGAAGCCUGGUGUGCUGCAGCCUAUGGGGUCACAAAGAGUCAGACCCGACUUAGGAACUGA
rnacentral:lncRNA from 1 species